GAAAAAAAAGUCUGAAAUUCAAAGAUAAUGAGGGACUAGGCGCCUUUCUUAUUCAUCUGCAGCUCGCCUGCACAAAACGCAGCAUCCUGAGCCACGGGAGGGCGUUUGCACUGGAGUUUGCGCCGCCGGAGCCGCCGAGGGCUCUUUCCCUUGGAAUGGCCCCGCUCCGCUGCCCGGCUCGGGGCGGGCGCAGCCCGAGCCCCUCUCUG